GCAAAGCACGGAAAUUCAAUAGAAGUUCAGAUGAGCUUGAUGGGUUAUAAUGCUGAAUAAUUGUCUGACAUCAACUAUUCUUUGAUCAGUACCUAAUCCUGUGGUGCGUAGGGUUUUAAGUUUAGCUUUAGGGCUGCACAGUAGUAGAGCCACUACCUCACAGCGCCAGAUACCUUGGUUCAACCCUGACCUCGGCUGCCGUCUGUAUCCUCCCUGUGACCAUGCAGGUUUCCUGCAGAAGCUCUGGUUUCUUCCCACAUCCCAGAGACUUGCUGGUUUGUAGGUUAAUCGUGUUAUUCCUCUUUGUGCCUUGCAGUGCAUCGGAUGGCAAUCUUGCAGUUUCUUCAGCAUUCAUCCAUUUGUUUAUGAGGUCGAGUUUGUAGCUCGAAGCUCAACCCAGCACAGAUGGAAAGCGUACAAGGAGGCAGCUGGAUUCAAACUGGUGACCACUCGUCUUGAAGUCCGGUGAGGAUGCUGCAACACCACCACACCAGCUGGCAGUGUCCCAUUGUCAAAUAUGGCAAUUGAACACCACACCCAUCAAACUGACCAUAUACUUUACUAAACUGUAUUCUGUGUCUCCUUGGAAGGAGAGUACCUAGAUGUUGGAUAUGGACAGGUUGGAGCUGAAUUCAUUUAUCCCUGUGGCGACAUAAACUUCAGUCACAGAGACUCUAAACUCAUAUAAAAAAGGACAGGUAAGCAACUGGUAAGUGUCCAGUGACUGUGUAGACAAAUUCUGAAGGAGCAGGGUGAGAAACAUACAGGGAGGAGUGAGGGUUGCUGGUGAAAGCAGUCUUACUGGAAUGUAAAUCACAAAUAGAGAUGAGGCAAGAUUAAACUGUUAAAGACAUGAGUAAGGGGGAUUCCUAUUUCAAAUGGUGUCCUGGUAAAAGCACAGCUGAUCAAAAUAUUUGGAAGUCAAGGGAAUUGAAGUGAUCUGAGUGAAAGUUUAACCAAAUUAUUUAUAAAGCAAUAACCAAGUUAUUUAUAAAGCAAUUAACAGGUACUAACUUGGUGAAUGGGAAAGAUAUUUAGAAAGCAGAAGUACAACUAUUGAACAGUCAAGGUUCAAAAACAAAACAGAAAUCAUGCUUCUCUAACCUAACUGAAUUAUUUGAGGAACAGGAUUAAUGCAGUGGAUAUAAUUUACUGAAAUUUCCAAACAGCACUAAAUAAGGUAUCACAUGCAUAAGUUAAUAAAUAUGUAUAGCCGGAUUCUGUGCAGUUUAGGGAUGAGCAAAAAGACGUUAUCAAGCUGUGGAAUAGAAAAUAGAAAAGGGAGAGGAGUGAGGCCCCUCUACCCAGCAUUUUGUUAGCAAAUGUGCAGUCGCUGGAAAACAAAUUUGAGGAUGAAUUUGAGGACCUGAGGACAAGAUUGAUGUAUCAUAGAGAAAUGAGGGUUGCUGCUUUCUGUGUUUCAGCAAGACAUGGCUUACUCUGUGUACAUCAGACCUGAAGGCUUCUAGGUACACAAGUUGGACUGAACUUCUGAUUCAGAAAAGACAGAAGGUGGGUGUAUGUGUUUCAUGGUAGACUCCCGUGGUGCUUUGCGGGGGUGGGGGUGUGCCUUAUUCUGAUUGUUGUGAGUCACUUUCAUUGUGAUUGGUUAGUUUAGAAACUGCAGCUGCUUUUCCCAGUGGAUAGCUGGUUGGUGUCCCACUUCAAAUAUUCUGGACACAGAAGGGGCUUGCUCUCUUCUUCCUUUGUUUAAAACAUGGUCAUUGGGAAGACCUCUUGAAAUGAAUGCUAACAUGGAAUAUGCCUUCCUCACCAAACACUCUUACCUGCAAGUUAACCAUCAGGGUGUUCUGCACAAGGAAUCCCAAGUCUCUCUGCAUCUCAGAUUCCUGGAUUUUCUCCCCAUUUGGAAAAUAGUUCACACAUUUAUUUCUAUUACCGAAGUGCAUGACUAUGCAUUUUUCAACAUCGUAUUUCAUUUGCCACUUUCUUGCCCAUUCUGCUAAUCUGUCUAAGUCCUACCUGCAUCCUACCUGUUUCCUCAAUACUACCUGCCCCUCCAACAAUCUUUGUACCAUCUACAUACUAUCUUUUCCAUCAUCUAAAUCAUAUAUAUACAGCAUAAAAAGAAGUGGUCCCAACACCGACCCCUCCAGAACACCACUAGUCACUGGCAACCAACCAGAAAAGAAUCCUUUUAUUCCCACUCACUGCUUCCUACCAAUCAGCCAAUGCUCUAACCAAGUUAGUAACUUGCUUGUAAUACCAUGGGCUCUUAACUUGGUAAGCAGCCUCAUGUGUGGCACAUUGUCAAAGGCCUUCUGAAGGUCCAAGUAUACAACAUACCCUCCAGCCUCUUCAUCUAUCCUACUCGUAAUCUCCUCUUAGAAUUCCAACAGGUUUAUCAGGCAGGAUUUUCCUUGAAGGAAACCAUGCUGACUUUGUACUAUCUUGUCCUGUGUCACCAAGUACUCCAUCACCUCAUCCUUGACAAUUGACUCCAACAUCUUCCCAACCACUGAGGUCAGGCUAACUGGUCUGUAAUUUCCUUUCUGCUACCAUCUUCCUUUCUUAAAGAGUCGAGUGACAUUUGCAGUUUUCCAGUCCUCUGGCACCAUAGCAGAAUCCUAUGAUUAUGAAGAAAACAAGACAUCAUCUCUACUUCCUUAGAAGUUUGCAAAGAUUUGACAUGACUUCCAAAACUCUUACAAACUUCUACAGAUAUGUACUGGAGAGUAUAUUGACUGGCUGCAUCAUAACCUGGCAUGGAAACACCAAUGCCCUUGAAUGGAAAAUCCUUUAAAAAGUAAUGGAUACAGCCUAGUCCAUUACACAUAAAGCCUUUCCCACCAUUGAGCACAUCUACAUGAAACAUUGUUGCAGGAAAGCAGAAUCCAUCCUCAAGGACCCCCACCAUCUCUGCCAUGCUGUCUUCUUGCAUCUGCCAUCUGGAAGAAGGCAGCCACAGAACAAAGGAAACCAAAGGAACCCAUUUAAAAAAAGACUUUCAAACACCCAAUGUACUGAGUAAAAACAACAAAAGUAAGCAAAUGGCAUUGAGAACUGAAGUUUUGCAGAAAUGAAUCGACGGACACAAAGCCAGGCAUCACUGCAGCUGGAGCAGGCCAUGGUGCAGAGCUGAGAAAACGUCACAGAGCAGCGAGCAGACCUGACCCAUCCCUUGCCUUCGGCCCUGACACCCUGACCUUUUCAGUCUGGCCCGGCACUUAAAUUGUCCGAACAAUGGUUCAUUCCUCAAUCUCAGACCACUCCGCAGCCAGGACCUUUCUGCCAUGACUCAGCCUGUACCCAAUCUUUCCAAUUCAUCCCGGCACUUAAAUCAAUCAAACUUCGGGACUUUCCUCACCGUCAGGGCGCUACUUCCCCUGACUCUACCUCAAGCCUGCCUUGCCUCUGUAAUGUGAGGAUGUAAUUCUUCUAGUGCAAUGACUUCCCUUAGCACUAGUUACUGACUGAUAAUAAGCAUGCACAUUGAUUUGUUGCUCUCUCUGCAAAGUGAGUAUACACACUAACUUCCUCUCCAAGUGUCUGCAUCUUUUUAUUCGAAAGCUCGUUGUGCAGACACAACAAAUUGGGAAUGGGUACAAACCAGUAUGCCAGCAAAUAUUACCAACUGUACUGACAGUUACAAAAUGACAGAAUUUGGAGGAAGGGAGAAGGAUAGCGAGAGGGAAGGGUGAACCAAUACGGAGAAGGCAGUCACCGAUGUUAGAAAAGGACAUGUGAGUUACAGUGCAAGGUACACAGUGAGAGACACACCUAUAGCAAAGCUAAAGUAAAAUAAAAUGACAAUGGCCUUCAUUCAGAAAGUUGAUGAAUUUGAUAGUGCUAAUGAGGGCUGGAAAUCAUAUAUCAAGAGUGUUGAACUGUAUUGAAAUGCUAAUGAUGUAGAUGAAGUGAAGAAAGUCUCCAUAGUUCAUAGUUUAAGGGCUGCUAAAAUGUCCAGACUUUUACACAACUUAGUAUUCCUGAAAAGCCAGCAAGACAUUCAACAAAAUUGUUGUAAUUUUGCAAAAUCACUUGAACUCAAUACUGCUAGCAAUAGCUGAGAGAUUUAGAGUUCACAAAAGGAACCAGUCAAAGGAUGGAAGUAUUUCUGAUUACAUUGCAGAACUGUGCAAACUUUCCCAGUACUGCAACUUUGCAGAUGGACUUACUGAUCCAUUAAAGGACAGGCUUAUAUGUGGAAUGCAUCGUCAAAGCACUCAAAAGAGGCUACUGUCAGAAAGAGACAUAACCUUAGAACGGGCAUUGAUCAUUGCAAGAUCAUGAGAGACUGCAGCCAAUGAUGUGGCAUAACUACAGAAAAAGAGAUUAGAAUGUGAAAUAUACAAUAUGUCCCUAAAUGGUGCAAAAAGCCAAAAAUGUUAUCGAUAUGGCAAAUCUCCCCGUGAUGCCGAUGACUGUUGGUUCAAAGAGAAAGUUUGCAGAGACUGUCACGGGCAAGGUCACAGAGAGAGAGUGUGCAAGGCACAAAGAGACAAACCACAGCAAGCGAAAAGUUUCAAACACAAAACUAAACAAAAGCAUAAGUUGACUAAAUGGGAAACUGAAUCGGACUAGAUAGAGUCUGACAAAGGUGAGCUGUCAUGCCCAGAAUUAUAUAGCAUUACUGAAGCAGAUCACAAAAUCAUCCAGAUCAAAUGUGUAAAACUGAAAAUGGACCUAGAUACAGGGUUGAUUUGUCCAUAAUUUCAGAGGCUGACUACAACAGACAUUUUUCUAAGCUACCAUUAGAAAAGACCUUGCUGAUGCUAACAACAUACCUGGGGGGGGGGAGUGUCCCCCAAAGGCAAACUAUAAGUGAAUUUGAUGUACUGAGGCAAAGCACAUCAGUUAGAGCUUUAUGUGCUGAAAAGUGGAAGGCCAGCACUUUGCAGAUGUGAAUGGUUGAGAAAAUUCCAACUAGACUGGCUAACAAUCAAAGCUCUCAAUGUGUCAUCAACAGGCAACUGCAGCCCAAAUGGUAGCACUAAGCAGAGACUGUCACAGCUGUUUGAUGCUAAUGAGAAGGGUAUUGGUAAACUCAAUGCAUGAAGUCCAGAAUUGUACUGGAUGAAGCAGCAGCACCAAGAUUCCAUAAGUUGUAUGCACCAAGUUCUAAAGUGGAUGCUGAACUGCAGAGCCUGGAGGUGUCUGGCAUUCUUCAAAGGUUGAGUGGAGUGAUUGGGUCACGCCCAUUGUCUCAGUGAAGAAGGGAAAGACUGGAGCCGUUCACAUUUGUGGGGAUUUCAAAUUCAGCAUCAACCUAGUGCUGCAUACUGUGCAGUAUCCCCUACCACAAAUAGAAGACAUUUUUGCAUCUUUGGUAGAAGGUGAGAGGUUUUCAAAGAUUGACUUGUUACAAGCCUAUCUACAAAUUGAGAAUGAGGAGUCGAACAGAAAGUUCCUCACAAUCAACUCUCACAAGGGACUGUUCCAGUAUAAUCGUUUCAUCUUUGGCGUCACAUCAGCUCCAGCAAUUUGGCAAAGAGCAAUGGACCAAAUGCUCCAAGAUAUCCCAGGAGCACAAUGUUACCUUGAUGACAUCAUCAUGACUGGCAAGAAUGAUGAAGAGCACCUCCAGAACCCUGGUAAAGUGCUUACCAGGCUGAGUGAGUACAGUCUGCUCGCAAAGAGAGAGAAAUGUGAGUUUUUCAACAAUAAUAUCUAAUAUUGUGAACAUGUCAUUGGCAAGCUUGGCUAACAUAAGUCACAAGAGAUGACUGAAGCAGUGCUACAGGCAUCCAAACCGGAAAAUGUUUCACAUCUCAAGUCAUACUUGGGCCUUGUAAGCUACUACCACCGGUUUCUCCCAAACAUUGUUACAGUGCUGCACCCAGUGAACGAUUUGUCAUGGACAGGAGCAAAGUGGGAAUGGUCAGAAAGAUGUGAAAGAGUAUUCAAGAAAACAAAGAGGCUAAUAACAUCAGAUGAACUGCUAACACAUUAUGACCCAUCUGGUGUGCUAUGUGUCCCCUUAUGACAUUGUGUCAAUUGUCACACACCAUGAAAGAUGGAUCUGAACAUCUGAUUGCAUUUGCUUCAAGAUCACUGGCGAGUGCAGAUCUACCCACAGAUUGAUCAAGCAGCCCCUAGUCUAGUAUGGGGAAUAAAGAAGUUCCACCACUACUUCUAUGGACAAAGGUUUAUGCAAGUGACAGACCGCCAGCCCCUUGUGUCCAUUUUCAAUCCCAGGAAGGGAAUUGCAGUGAUGACUGCUACCUGGUUACAACACUGUCCCUAGGAGCCCACUCUUAUGACACAGAGCUCAAAGGCACCAAACAACACAGUAAAGCUGACAGCUUGUCACAUCUUCCACUGUUGACUACCAAAGAAGGGAGGUCUUCAUACUUGGACCCAGCAGAAGUUUUCCACACCACAUGGUGGACCAGUUGCCAGUAACAAAUUCCAAUGCACAAAAAGAAACAAGGAAUGACCCGACAUUGUCAAAAGUCCAUGACAUCACCAUGCAAGGGUAGCCAGCACAUGGUAAUCCUAUGUGUCCAGACUUCUCAGUGAGGCAAGACCAUCUAUCUGUAUGUCAAAGAAUGCUGAUGUGUGGAUCUCAUAUUAUGGUUCCCUCUAAACUGCACACCAGAGUCUUAGAUAAUCUGCAUGUAGGGCAUCUGGGUACAAUCAAGAUAAUCUCACCCAGAGUGAUGUGUGGUGGCCAACGAUAGAUAGAUAAAUUGAAGACUUGACCAAAAGCAGUUUGAGAUGCUGCAAAGUUCAAACUGCACCUCCACAGGCACACCUUUACACCCGUGGGAGUGGCCGUCUUCACCAUAGCAAAGAGUACAUAGUGACUUUGCUCAGCCAUUCAUGAACUCCACGUAUCUGAUUGCUGUGAUUGCUUAUUUGAGGUGGCCAGAGGUUAUACCAAUGAAGACAACCACAUCACAAAAAACUGUUUCCACUCGGAGGAUUAUUUUUUCUAGAAAUAGCUUACCAGAACAAACUGUGAGUGACAAUGGAUGCAAUACACAUCAGAAGAAUUCAGACUAUUCAUGAAGAAAAAUGGCAUCCAACAUUUCAAGUCAGCUCCUCACCACCCAGCGAUGAAUGGGUUAUCUGAAAGAUUUAUCCAAACCUUCAAGAAAUUCAUUAAAGCAAUGGACAAGGAGGAUAUUUCUCUACAGCACAAGGUGGACAAUUUCUUUUUUGUGUAUUGGAACUCUGUUCACACGAUGGCAAACCAAACACCUUCAUCACUCUUCAUUCAAUGGUCUUCCUCAGAGCAGGACUCGGAGAUCUUGCAUAAACUUCCUGAAACCAGAUCUACAGAGGGAAGUGCAGAAUAAACAGUUCAGCCAAGAAAAUCAGCAAGGAGCAUUGAGGUUGGACACAAAGUCCUAGUACAUGAUUACCGAGAAGACAAGUGGACACCCAGUAGGAUAGCUAUCACUGAUGUACACAGUGGAUGUUGGAGAUCAGACAUGGAGACAUCAUGUGAACCAGAUACUGGAUGCUCAGCUGAAGAACACACUUGGGUCAAUUGCAUCCAACAAGAUGGAUGUAGUACAUCCACUGGACUUACAUCUCAGUUAUGAUCAUGUCACCAACAGCAACGUGGCACCUGACAAGACACCUGCCGAACCUAAUACCACUCCACAUGUCCCAAGGCGCUCUUCUGAAAGAAACAGAGCACCACCCAAAAGACUGAACCUUUAGUAUAGUGAAGUUAAUUAUGGACCGUUAUUUAAAAAGUGAAAAAUCAAGCAACACUGUUACUGUGAAAGCAUGUUUUUUGACAUGGUCUGUUAAAGGGAAAUUGAAUGCUUUGUUACGUAUACAGUUUUCAGACUAUCAAGAAGGCAAAUGGAAUGUUGGCUUACGCUGCCAGAGGGAUUGAAUUUGAAAGCAGGGAGGUUAUGCUGCAAAUGUAUGCUUUUCACAGAGUGUGGUCAAUCCGCCGUAGAAUUCUCUGCCCAAUGAAGCAGUGGAGGCUACAUCAGUAAAUAUAUUUAAGACAAGGUUGGAUAGAUUUUUGAAUAGUAGGGCAAUUAAAAGUUAUGGGGAAAAGGCAGGUAGAUGGUGAUGAGUCCAUGGUCAGAUCAGCCAUGACCUUCUUGAAUGGCAGAGCAGAUUCGACAGGCCAGAUGCCCAACUCAUGCUCCUAUUUCUUAUAUUCUUAUGUUACAUUAAUCUGAAGGAGGAGGAAGUGUAAUGCACAGAUCUAUUUCUUUUGGUGCAAUUAUUAGCGUUAAUUAUUGGCUGAUAACUUAUGCACGUGCUUUGUUUUGGUGCUCUCGCUGCAAAGUGAAUGUGCAUGUUAAUUCCUUCUCCAAGUGUGUGCCUUUAUUUACUUGAUAUGUUGUUGUAGAGACACAACAGCCGCCACUCGCCUCGCCUCCACGCGGCUCUCCAUUGUUUGCAGGGAUCAUUAUUAAUAAAGGACGUAGUAGCUUCCUUCGCUUUGUUUGCCAUCGAUAAUAGCUGCUGAGCUUCACCAGUGCCGCCUUAAUCUGGUUCAUCUCUGAGAAAAUGAUCUUGUGGCUACAACAGUGACUGUGGGUGGGUUCAGGUGCAUUGGAAGCUAUCAAGGUGGGUGGGUGGGUGGGUACUUUCCAAACCCCGCCUGUUCAAAACGUUAAGCUCAUCAGGAAGGAUGUGCUGUUGCCAGUGAUGUUGUCAGACUUUGGUUUGAGGCCCAUUAUAUCAUGUAAGCCCCGCACAACUGAUGACUGGCCUGGGACUGGCAUUCCUGACAGUUUUAUAAAUGUCAUAUCUCGAUUUCUUGUGAAGGUCAUAAUAACCUGAUUUGAAUGCUGCUGUCCUAUACUGCACUCAGGAGUGGAUCUGCCGGUUCAUUCAUAGCUUCUGAUUUGGGGAACACCUGAAUUGUCUUCUUUGUUUUACAAUACUCAACAUGUAGGACUAUUUCAAACGGGUAUUUAAUGGGCAGCAAGAACUCAGUCAGCCAAACAGUCUGCAGGACAAUGAUUCUGUAUUUCCUGCUCAUCCCAUAUUGUCUGGGGUGUUUUUUUCAGCCAUACAGCUUUGAUUUUAUGCUGAAAUCCUUUGGGUGGUGGGUCUACCUUCAGAUUCUCUCCUGAAUUUCAUCAUGCUGUGCUCAGAUCAAAUUCAACAAUCCAUUGUAUUCACUGAAAUAACAGUUAUGCCUCCUCAGGAUCACCUCUUUAUUGUCCAUUUGAGUGGAAUUACUCUUCGUGAUUGUGGAGAAGAGUGACCAGAACAGAGGCAAUGGCAUCAGUUGUGCCACAAGAGGGCACCAUAAGCCUAUUGUACUGGGCUUCAGUACAAAAACAAUCAGAUCAUCUGUUACUACGUUGCAGUAAGUCUGCUGUGUGCUUUCACUUCACAAGUAAAUAUUGUUGCUAACGUUUACUUUUAGAUUCAUCCUUUGCAAAUCCUUGCUCCUCUCCAGGUGGUGAGUCUUACACUUGUAGUAAGAAGGUUAUUGGAAACAAUUCUAAGAGACAGGAUUAAUGUUCACUUGGAAAGCAGGGACAGAUUAGGGGAGUCAGCACAGUUUUGUGCAGGGAAAAUUCUGUCUCAGAAAACCUGAAUCAGUUUUUUGUGACGGUAAUUAAGAAAAUUGUUGAAGACAGGGUGGAACACGGACUAUAGAACAAAGGCUUACACAGGUGCAGAAGGCUAAAGCACAUGAGACCUGACCUCUGUGGCUCGGUGGCAGGAGACAGAGGGUGCUUGCUAUUUUUCACCUGAAAAUCUGUAACUAGUGCUUUACCACUGAGAUUGGUACUGGGACCUUCAUUGUUUAUCAAAUUUUUAUAAAUGACUUGGAUGAGAAAGUGACUAAUCUGGUCGACUGUGGAGAUACACAGCACCAAAACACACCUUCAGUCCUAACUGAUCCAUAUCAACUGAAGCUAGUCACCAUAUCAGUCUAAGUUAGUCCCUGUGCCAACAUUUGGCACACAACUUUCUAAACCUUUCCAUUUUCUGUACCUGUCCAAGUGUCUAUUAAAAUAUUUAUUCUACCUGCAUCAACCAAUUUCUGUGGCAGCUCAUUCCACAGAUAUACCACUCUUUGUGUAUAAAGUCACCCCUCAAGAUCCUAUUAAAUCUUUCUCCUCUCAUCUUAAACCUAUGCCCUCUAGUUACUGAUUUCCCGGCUCUUAAGAAAGACUGACUGCAAUCACCACUUUUUUGACUUUAGUAUCAUCUACUAGAUCACUUCUCAUUUCCUGCAGUCUAAUGAGUAAAGUCCUGGCCUGUCCAAACUUUCCCUCUAACUCAGUCCUCAAGUUCCUGUAAAUCUUUUCUGCAUAGCUUCCUGUUCAAUAACAUUUUUGCUGUUAACAGGUUUACCAAAACUGACCAAAAUUCUCUAAGUGUGGUCUCACCAGCUUGCUAUACAACUGCACCACAGCCUUCCAGCGUUUAUACUCAUUACAACACACACAAAAUGCUGGAAAAAUGUGUGCGCUGGCGAAGGGUUUUGGCCCAAACCGUGGACUGUACUUUUUUCCCAUAGAUGCUGCCUGGCCUGCUGAGUUCCUCCAGCAUUUUGUGUGUGUUGCUUGGAUUUCCAGCGUCUGCAGAUUUUCUCUUGUUUGUGAUUUUUUACUCAUUGCCCUGACUUAGGAAUGUAAGCAUGCUAAAAGCCUUCUUCACCAUCCUGUCUACUUGUGACUCCACUUUCAGUGAACUAUGCACUUAUAUCCCAAAGUCCCUCUGCUCUAUCCCCCCAGGGCCCUGUCUGAGGCAUUAAGUACAAAAGAUGAAGCACCACGUGGCAGCUGUACAAAAUAUCUUUCAAACUGCAUGUGGAUGUAGUACUGGUCACCACAGCACAGGAAGGAUGUGGUAGCAUUAGAAGAAAUUCAGCAGAUGUUGCCAAAGGGCACAUCUACUAAUACUAACUUGAAGGAGAUCUGGGGUCCCAAUAAGGAUUCCUGCAAAACACCAUGGGAUACUGAUCAGCAGCCAGAAUGUCACAUCGACCACCACCCUCUGCCUCCUAUGCUCCACACAGACUCAUGCAGCCUGUUCCUAAUUGGGGCAAUUCCUAUUGCUCGUAAGUUGAUUAUUCAGUUUUGGGUAGUAGGAGCAAUUACUUGGAUGGAGAAACAGGAGCUAUAGAAAGUGGUACCUGUUGAGACUUUCUGUUCAGUAUCAGCUAGCAGGAGCCUAAAGGAGGCAUGGUUGUAAAUUGUUAGUUUAAAUUGACUGUAUAGUUAGGCAGCUGGCAAAGGCCAAUAAAAAGAAGUAUAGUAUAAGCAGAGUGGCCAGAGUGGGAGCGGACAGGGUUAAAGUUGGAAAGUUGAGGCUUUGGCAAGAAGACACAAGAGCUAAGAGAGUGUCUGGCUAGCGACACUUUUUUCUUUAUUAUAGUAUAGGUAAAGCAGCGGGAAUGGAAACCUGUGCAGUGAUGUGUUCCACUUGCACAAUGUAGGAAGUCAGGGCGAUCUCCCGUGUCCUUACGGAUCACUUUAGGAGCUGGAGCUUGAUGACUUAUGGAUCAUUAGAGAGAAGAUUUACAAGGAGGCCGUUGCUCCUAAGUUUCAGGACUUGUAACUGUGUGACCUUCGAGAGAGAAGUUUGGCCAUUCCCCUCAAUAACAAUCAUAUCAUUUGGGGUCCUCUUGGGGGGUGACAACUCAGCAGAGGGGUGCCACAGCAGUCAGGUCCCUGGCACUGAGGCUAAUUCUAUGGUCCAGAAGGAAGGUCGGGAGAAGAGACAAGCAGUAGUGAUAGGGGACUCACUGGUUAUGCAGACAGAUGGGAAAUUCUGUGGAUGCCACUAAGACUCCCAGAUGGUAUGUUGCCUCCCAGGUGCCAGGGUCAGAGAAACCUCUGAUGGGGUCCAUAACAUUCUUAAGGAGGAAGGCCAGCAGGCAGGUUGUGAUCCACAUUGGAACCAAUGACAUUGGCAGGAAGUGUGAAGAGAUCUGGCAAAGUGAAUUCAUGGGUUUAGGUGCUGAGUUAAAGGAUGGGACCUCCAGGGUGGCGAUCUCAGGAUUGUUACCCAUGCCACGUGCUAGUGAGGCUUAAAAAAAAGAAGAUAAUGCAGUUUAACAUGUGGCUAAGGGAAUGGUGCAGGCACUGAGGGAGUGGGGGGAGUUCUUCAGAUUUUUGGAGCAUUGGGCUUUCUUCCAUGGAAGAUGAGAGCUGUACAAGUAGAACUGUUUGCACCUGAACUGGAAGGGACCGAUAACCUUGUGCAAAAGAUUGCCAGUGCUGCUCAGCAGGUUUUCAACGAGGGUGGCAGGGGUAGAAACCUAAGUAGCAGGUCAGCAAGUCGAGUGGCUGUGGGAAAGUAAAUAUUAAUCCACUUGCAAGGAAAGAAACUGAAUGGCUAAGCACGGUGGGGCUAAUGUUCUGAAUUGUGUGUAUUUCAAUGCAAGGAACAUUGUAGACAAGGAAAUAUAAUGUUGUAGACAUUAGUGAGACUCGGUUGCAGGAAGGGCAGGACAAGCAGAGCAAUGUUCCAGGCUCUGUUGUUUCAGACAUGAUAGCGGGGAGAUAUUAAAGGGGGAAGGGUUGUAUUCGACAUCAGAGAAAAUGUCAUGCAAUGCUCAGAGAGGCUGUACUGGAUGGCUCUUCUCCUGAGGAAAUAUGGUGGAACUGUGGAAUAAGGAAGGGAUGACCAGUUUAAUCGGGUUACUUUAUAGACCUCCCAAUAGUCAGCGGGAUUUAGAGGAGCAAAUUUGUAGGGAGAUAGCAGAUAGUUGCAAGCGAAAUAAAAUUAUAAUUGUAGACAACUUCAACUUUCUGCAUUUUGACUGGGGCUCCCACACUAUAAAAGAACCGUGUGGGAAAGAGUUUGUCAAAUCUGUUCAGAAGAAUUGCCCUUAAUCCAUAUAUAGAGGUCUCAACUCGAGCGAAUGUGACACUUGGUCUCCUAUUAGGGAACGAUACAGGGCAGCUGACAGGGAAACACUUUGGAACUAGUGAUCUUAAUUUCACUAGUUUCAAGGUAACUAUGGAGAAGAGUAGGUGUGCUCCUCAGGUUCAAAUUUUAAAUUGGAGAAAGGGCAAUUUCUAUGGCAUCAGAAGGGAUCUGGCCGAUGUGGAUUCGGAUAAGUUGCUUUCUAGCAGAGGCAUUCCUUGUAAGUGUGAGGCAUUCAAAAGUGAAAUAUUGAGAGUACAGAACUUGGAUGUUCCAAUUAGAAUAACAGGUUUAGGGAACCUUGUUUUUUGAGGAAUAUUGAGACCUUGGUCAAGAAGAAGGAGAAGGUGCAUAUCGGGUACAGGUAGUUGGAAUCAAAUGUGGUGUUUGGGGUGUAUAAGAGAUGCAAGGAGACACCUAGAAAAAAGAAGAAAUCAGGAGGACUAAAACAGCACAAGAAGUUUCUCUGGCGACAAGUUGAAAGUGAAGGUAAGGACGUCUGUAGAUCCGCAAAGGACAAAAGGAUAGCUGGGACAGAAUUGGUCCUUUUGAACAUCAGCGCGAUCAUCUAUGCAUGGAGCUUAGAAAGGGGGGGAGAUUUGAAUUUUGCAUCUGUAUUUACUUGGAAGAAGGGUGCAGCACCUAUAGAACUGUAGCAAAAAAUCAGUGAGGUCAUGGAUCAUAUGCAGAUUACAGAAGAGGAGGUGCUUGCUGUCAUGAGGCAAAUUAGGAUGGAUCAGUCCCCAAGGUGUCCCCUCAGACCUUGCAUAAGGAGGCUAGUGCAAACAUUGCAGGGGCCUGGUAGAGGUAUUUAAACACCCUUAGCUAUGGGCAAGGUGCCAGAGCACUGGAGAAUAACAAAUGUUACUUUGUUACGCAAGAAAGACACUAAGAAUAUGCCAGAGAGUCACAGGCUGUUGGUCCUGGUGUCACUUGUGUGUAAAUUAUUGGAAGGUAUUCUAAGGGAGAAUAUUUGUAAGUAUUUAGAUCAAUAUUUAGAUUAGGGAUAGUCAACAUAUCUUUGUGAAUGGUAGGUCGGGUCUAACCAACGUUAGCAAUUUUUGAGAAGGUUAUGAGGCAGGUUAAUGAAGGAAAGCAAUGGAUGCUGUCCACAUAGGCUUUAGCAAGGCCUUUGACUGCACGAGAAGCUGGAUGAGAAGGUUAAAUCACGUGGCAUUCAGGAUAAAAUUGUAAAUUGGAUUCAGCAUUAACUUAUUGGGAGAAGUUCGAAAGCAGUAAUAGAUGGUUAUCUUUCUGUCUGGAAGGUUGUGGUGUACUGCAGAGACUGGGUCUGUUGUUUUUUAUCAUCUACAUUCUAAAUCAGAUUCAGGUUUAAUAUCAUUAGUAUAUAUUGUAAAAUUUGCUAUUCUGCAGCAGCAGUACAUUGUAAUACACAAUAAUAAAAACUACAAAUUACAAAAAGUAUAUAUAAAAAAUCAAAUUAAAUAAGUAAUACAAAAAGAGAGUGUAAAAAUUCAGAGGUAAUGUUCAUGGGUUCUUUGUCCAUUCAGAAUGCUGAUGGCAGAGGGGAAGAAGCUGUUCCUGAAACAUUCAGUGUGUGUCUUCAGCCCGAAACAUCGUCUGUUUACUCUUUCCAUUGAUGCUACAUAGCCUGCUGAGUUCCUCCACUAUUUUUCUGCGGUGCUGAACAAAGUGAUCUCCCAAUCUCUGACAGAUCUCACUGGAGUGAAGAUCACACUAGGAGCACUGGAUACAAUAGAUGACCCCAAAAGACUCAGAGGUCGUGUCUCCUUACCUGGAAGGACUGGAGCCCUGAAUGGUGAUCUACAGAGAGCAUGCGCCAUUAGGCUCAAGGACUGCAGUCCCACGGUCUUCAGAGUUUUGAACAGAAUCUUCAUACACUAAAAGAUAAACUCUUGAUCUCCACCUGCCUCAGUGUGGCUCUUGUGCUUCUUUUCUUCGCCUGCUCUGUGCUUCUUAAAAUGCAACGCCAUAUUCUACAUUCUGUUUUAAUUUUCUGCUAUCUUGCUAUACAUAUGUAAGGCACAAUCUAUCAGCAUGGCAUACAAAUGAAAGCUUUUCACUAUAUCCUGGUGCAUGGAACAACAAUAAGCCAAUACUUAUACCAGGUCUCGACAAGUUGUGUGCAGAGAGGUUUCUUCUAGCUGAGGAGUCUGGAACAGGGGUCACAAUCUAGAGUAAGGCUCUUUGGGACUAAGAUGAGGACAAAUGUCUUCUUGCAGAGUGUGGUGAAUAUUUGGACGUGAGGGUCAUGCAGUUAAUGGUUCCUAGAUGGAAGGUCUUGAUGAAUGAUGAGGAAGUCUUGUUGUGUUAAAUUGUCAUUACUCCUAAAGCCAUUAGACUCUUCUCUUGAACUAAAGAGGAUAACUACACUCAUCUAUCGAGUUCCCACAACAAAUUAUCUUGCUUGAAGGACUCUUUAUCUUGUUACUUAUUGCUAUUUAUUUAUAUUUACAUAUGCACAUUCUAUGCUCUUGCUCUUUCAUUGAUCCAAUUUCCAGUUACUGUUCUAUAGAUUUGCUGAAUAUUUCUACAGGACACAGAAUCUUAGUGUUUUAUGUGGUGACAUUUAUGUACUCAGAGAAUAAAUUUCGCUUUAAAC